GGGCAACUUCCCAACCCAGGAAUCGAACCAGGAGCGCCUGCAUUACAGCUGGAUUCUUUACCAGAGUUAUGGUUUUACUGUGACGCUUUUGCAAAAAUGUUCUUGCAAAAGUGCUUCAUCUUAAAGGAGAUUCAUGAAAAAGACUUUGACAAGUACAGGUUUUUACUAACUUGAAGAUCAUAAAACAACUGAGUGAGAACUCCAGAACUAAUGGGAAAACUGGAUUCAAGCAAAACAAGUGUUAAUUACAUGGAACUGAAUGAACUGAGGAAGCUGAUUAUAAUUUUUUUAUGACUUUUUGUUUGAAACAUUGGUUCCUUAAUAUUUCAUUUUCCCAGAUUUAAGGAAACCUUUCAUCUUCAUCUGAACAUAACAUGCAGCAAUUUGGUAAAAGAUACCUUUGUAAACACAGAUGAAACAUUCGCUUUUUCUCCCUAUUUGAUCCCUUCCAUAAUUAGAAAAUCCUUGAGUAUUCUUCCUCAGCAAUAGAGUUAGUUAUUUGCAUAAGUUCAGUAUGAAUCUGUUCUCCUGGUAACAGAACACGAUUGGAAACAUUGGCUAUAUUGCCAAGGCUUUGACUGCAAUGUCAUAUUUGAGAGAGAUAUACAUGGACUCAAUUUGACCAAAGCUUAUAUGGUCAGUCAUUGUUUUCACUGCACUUACAGGCCAAGUUUAAUGCAAACAAAUUAGUUUUACUGUGAUUAUCUGUUUUUAAUGGGGGAAAUUGUAGAGAGAAAAAUUAUGUUUGUAGCUAUUAGAUUCUAGUUCUGUCAACUGUCUUUAGGCAUAUAAACUAGUCUGGAUUCUAAACUCUUGUAGUUACCUCAAGUAUCUUGCUACAUUUCCAAUUUUUUUCCCCUUUUCUAAUUUGGAAUCACUGAGGACAUAGAAUGCUCUUGAAUCUCCUUGGAAGAGGCUAUACCAGAUCUUCCUAACUACAGCCAGACUUCAGGUAUUUGAACCUUAGGAAGGCAUCUCACUACUGAAGAUGUCUUCAGCUGUGAGAUCUUUAAGUCAAAUUGACUGGGUUAAGAGGUAGCCAGCAUGGUGGUAGCUUGAUUCCUCUCAAGGUGCUUGAUCAAGACUUCAUACCUUAACAUGAAACUCUUUCUUCUUCUUUUCCUUACGCUGGCAUUUGCCUGGAAAGAUAACAUGAUUGUCCACAUCUCCUAGGCCAUUGCUAAGGAGGGUAUCUAGAAUUUGGAACAACUUUUUAUUUCGGACUAGGAGAUUUAGUCCCUGAAUGCGUUGAAAAGAUAACUGACCCCUGGCUUGAAUGGGCAAGUGAAACAGCGUCUGCAAAUGAAUCCAUUGAGCCACCUGGGAAGCCCGAGGUUAUCUAACCGUCCCUCUGACUGUCCACAAUUAAACUGAGACACCUCACCAGUCAACUCCCCUGAAUUUUACUUUCUCAGGUU